GGCAAAGAAAGGCAAGGGGGGAGGGGGCCCAGGAGUCUCCCAAUUGACGCCGGGCUGCUUUCGGUUUCUGCCCCAGGGUUUGGUCGGGAGGAGGAAGAAAAUAAAGAGAGCCUGAACGUGUACGGCUGUCCCCGCAGCCAGGGCUAUUCUGUCGCCCCUGACGCCACCGUACACUCCGCCUUCCAGCGCGCUCCCGCGCGCGCCCGCCCAGCCACCACUAGCACCACCACCACCGUCACGAGCCCGAGCUGCCCCCAAAGCUCCGGCUCAGGCGCGAGGACGCGCCCAGUCCCCCUCCCUCUCAAGCAAGAGGCUCUGGCUUCUGCAGCCUUCCCACCCUACCCCACCCAACACCAGCCUGGCCACUCAAGGUACCCACGGCCCGUAUUUCCCCUCUUACCCAGCCGGCCAGUGGGCCGGCCUCCCUUCCCUUCCCCUAGCUGUCCACACCCACGCGUACAGAGGGGCCGGGGCCUCCCUCAAGCAGCGGCCUCGGCCUCCUCCCCGCGCGGCAGCUGGUGCCUCCCCGGCCCUACGGGGCUCACGCGCACGACACAGCCACAAGAUGUCCGCUCUGACGGAACUACUGCCAGCUGCCACGCUCCGCCCCUCCCCCUCCUCCUGCCUCUUCACCGCCGCGGAUCAGUCCGCCAACGCCGCUGUCGCGAGCGAAGAACCAGCCUGAGGUUCAAGGGAAGCCAGGGUACAAUGAUUCAAUGAUUGUAAGAAACCUCUCUCAAGGGAACUCUAUCCAGGGAAGUCCAUGAAGAAAAGCUUCAAGAAAACCAAUCUGUGUUACCCUAAUGGAAACAAGCUUCAGUGUAAAAAUACAAUGGAACAUUACUGCUAUACAUUAAUAGAGCACAGAGCAAAUCUGAGGUACGAGUUCUUAAUUUUUUUGUACUUCGAACCAAUUUGGCAGUCUGGUAAAGCCCAGUAGACUUUCCUUUAAAAAGGUAGGAAGUGUGUAAUAAGUUUAAACAACAGUUUUAUCCCAUUUGUUGAUUUUGCUUUUUCUUUUUUGAGUAACUGAAGAUACUUGUGGAAAACUGAACUAUCUAGAAUGAUCAGAUUGAUUCAUUUUCC
rnacentral:lncRNA from 1 species